GUAGGUGAACCUGCGGAAGGAUCAUCACUGAUUUGGGGGGUGCGCACCCAGGUGUGUACCUCUACCCAACCUUGUGUGAACUGUAUUCUUGUGUGAUGUGUGUAUGUUGGUGGAACGCGACACGGCACGUGUGGUGUCCACCAACAGCGCACACCUCCAACCAAUAUUUAUUACCUUCUCUUUAACCUUUGUCUAACUCUGUACACAUACAAAUAAACACAACUUUCAACAAAGGAUCUCUUGGCUCUCG
rnacentral:misc_RNA from 1 species